UGGAGUUCGAGGAGGAAAGGUGAGUCCGGUAGCCCUCCGCCAAGGGAUGGUGAUUUGCAUUUGAUAAAACCAACUCCAUACAGGUGCUCAAACUUGGCCGCCAACCAACACUGACCUGCCACUAACCUCUGUGCUGCAGUCCGUCCCAGCAGCAAACGGCCUCGUCACCCUUUAGGCUGUGGAACAGAGGGACCCUGUGGAUGUCCCCUCACCAUCCUCCACACUUCGGUGGAUCUACCAGCCGCUCCUUGUGGUGUCACUCGUCUGACAGCUAGCAAUCAACCCUUUUCCAUUCCAUGAUUCAUCUGUCUUGGUCGUUUGUCAUACAAAGCUCCCUUGUGGAUGUAAGGAAACGACUGUGAAUUCUGAGCACGCUGCACCAUCAG